GUUGGGGGGGGGGUUAACUACAUGUUCGUCGAACGAUGUAAGACCGUGCUUGCACGGUUGGAUUAGUGGCGAACGGGUGAGUAUCACGUGAGUAACCUUCCCUUGACUCUGGGAUAAGCCCGGGAAACUGGGUCUAAUACCGGAUACGACCAGUCCUCGCAUGGGGUGCUGGUGGAAAGAUUUAUCGGUCUUGGAUGGACUCGCGGCCUAUCAGCUUGUUGGUGAGGUAAUGGCUCACCAAGGCGAUGACGGGUAGCCGGCCUGAGAGGGUGACCGGCCACACUGGGACUGAGACACGGCCCAGACUCCUACGGGAGGCAGCAGUGGGGAAUAUUGCACAAUGGGCGAAAGCCUGAUGCAGCGACGCCGCGUGCGGGAUGACGGCCUUCGGGUUGUAAACCGCUUUCAGCAGGGAAGAAGCGAGAGUGACGGUACCUGCAGAAGAAGCGCCGGCUAACUACGUGCCAGCAGCCGCGGUAAUACGUAGGGCGCGAGCGUUAUCCGGAAUUAUUGGGCGUAAAGAGCUCGUAGGCGGUUUGUCACGUCUGCUGUGAAAGCCCGAGGCUCAACCUCGGGUGUGCAGUGGGUACGGGCAGACUAGAGUGCAGUAGGGGAGACUGGAAUUCCUGGUGUAGCGGUGAAAUGCGCAGAUAUCAGGAGGAACACCGAUGGCGAAGGCAGGUCUCUGGGCUGUUACUGACGCUGAGGAGCGAAAGCAUGGGGAGCGAACAGGAUUAGAUACCCUGGUAGUCCAUGCCGUAAACGUUGGGCACUAGGUGUGGGGGACAUUCCACGUUUUCCGCGCCGUAGCUAACGCAUUAAGUGCCCCGCCUGGGGAGUACGGCCGCAAGGCUAAAACUCAAAGGAAUUGACGGGGGCCCGCACAAGCGGCGGAGCAUGCGGAUUAAUUCGAUGCAACGCGAAGAACCUUACCAAGGCUUGACAUGGACCGGAUCGCUGCAGAGAUGCAGUUUCCCUUCGGGGUCGGUUCACAGGUGGUGCAUGGUUGUCGUCAGCUCGUGUCGUGAGAUGUUGGGUUAAGUCCCGCAACGAGCGCAACCCCUAUCCUAUGUUGCCAGCACGUUAUGGUGGGGACUCAUGGGAGACUGCCGGGGUCAACUCGGAGGAAGGUGGGGACGACGUCAAAUCAUCAUGCCCCUUAUGUCUUGGGCUUCACGCAUGCUACAAUGGCCGGUACAAUGGGUUGCGAUACUGUGAGGUGGAGCUAAUCCCUAAAAGCCGGUCUCAGUUCGGAUCGAAGUCUGCAACUCGACUUCGUGAAGUUGGAGUCGCUAGUAAUCGCAGAUCAGCAACGCUGCGGUGAAUACGUUCCCGGGCCUUGUACACACCGCCCGUCAAGUCACGAAAGUGGGUAACACCCGAAGCCGGUGGCCUAACCCUUGUGGGGGGAGCCGUCGAAGGUGGGACUUCGCGAUGGAGGGAGAGGCAGAGCUGACAGAGCAACAGC
rnacentral:rRNA from 1 species